rnacentral:rRNA from 1 species
GGUUAAGCGACUAAGCGUACACGGUGGAUGCCCUGGCAGUCAGAGGCGAUGAAGGACGUGCUAAUCUGCGAUAAGCGUCGGUAAGGUGAUAUGAACCGUUAUAACCGGCGAUUUCCGAAUGGGGAAACCCAGUGUGAUUCGUCACACUAUCAUUAACUGAAUCCAUAGGUUAAUGAGGCGAACCGGGGGAACUGAAACAUCUAAGUACCCCGAGGAAAAGAAAUCAACCGAGAUUCCCCCAGUAGCGGCGAGCGAACGGGGAGGAGCCCAGAGCCUGAAUCAGUGUGUGUGUUAGUGGAAGCGUCUGGAAAGGCGCGCGAUACAGGGUGACAGCCCCGUACACAAAAAUGCACAUACUGUGAGCUCGAUGAGUAGGGCGGGACACGUGGUAUCCUGUCUGAAUAUGGGGGGACCAUCCUCCAAGGCUAAAUACUCCUGACUGACCGAUAGUGAACCAGUACCGUGAGGGAAAGGCGAAAAGAACCCCGGCGAGGGGAGUGAAAAAGAACCUGAAACCGUGUACGUACAAGCAGUGGGAGCCUCUUUAUGGGGUGACUGCGUACCUUUUGUAUAAUGGGUCAGCGACUUAUAUUCUGUAGCAAGGUUAACCGAAUAGGGGAGCCGAAGGGAAACCGAGUCUUAACUGGGCGUUAAGUUGCAGGGUAUAGACCCGAAACCCGGUGAUCUAGCCAUGGGCAGGUUGAAGGUUGGGUAACACUAACUGGAGGACCGAACCGACUAAUGUUGAAAAAUUAGCGGAUGACUUGUGGCUGGGGGUGAAAGGCCAAUCAAACCGGGAGAUAGCUGGUUCUCCCCGAAAGCUAUUUAGGUAGCGCCUCGUGAAUUCAUCUCCGGGGGUAGAGCACUGUUUCGGCAAGGGGGUCAUCCCGACUUACCAACCCGAUGCAAACUGCGAAUACCGGAGAAUGUUAU